rnacentral:rRNA from 1 species
CCUACGGGAGGCAGCAGUAGGGAAUCUUUCACAAUGGGCGAAAGCCUGAUGGAGCAACGCCGCGUGCAGGAUGAAGGCCUUCGGGUUGUAAACUGCUUUUAUAAGCGAGAAAUAUGAUGGUAACUUAUGAAUAAGGAUCGGCUAACUACGUGCCAGCAGCCGCGGUCAUACGUAGGAUCCGAGCAUUAUCCGGAGUGACUGGGUGUAAAGAGUUGCGUAGGUGGGAUAAUAAGUAGCUAGUGAAAUCUGGUGGCUCAACCAUUCAGACUAUUAGCUAAACUGUUAAGCUCGAGACCGUUAGGGGUAACUGGAAGUUCUAGUGUAGGAGUGAAAUCCGUAGAUAUUAGAAGGAACACCAAUAGCGUAGGCAGGUUGCUGGGACGGUUCUGACACUAAGGCACGAAAGCGUAGGGAGCAAACGGGAUUAGAUACCCUUGUAGUC